rnacentral:rRNA from 1 species
GACGAACGCUGGCGGCGUGCUUAACACAUGCAAGUCGAACGGAAAGGCCCUGCUUUUGUGGGGUGCUCGAGUGGCGAACGGGUGAGUAACACGUGAGUAACCUGCCCUUGACUUUGGGAUAACUUCAGGAAACUGGGGCUAAUACCGGAUAGGAGCUCCUGCUGCAUGGUGGGGGUUGGAAAGUGUCGGCGGUUGGGGAUGGACUCGCGGCUUAUCAGCUGGUUGGUGGGGUAGUGGCUUACCAAGGCUUUGACGGGUAGCCGGCCUGAGAGGGUGACCGGCCACAUUGGGACUGAGAUACGGCCCAGACUCCUACGGGAGGCAGCAGUGGGGAAUAUUGCACAAUGGGCGGAAGCCUGAUGCAGCAACGCCGCGUGCGGGAUGACGGCCUUCGGGUUGUAAACCGCUUUCGCCUGUGACGAAGCGUGAGUGACGGUAAUGGGUAAAGAAGCACCGGCUAACUACGUG